rnacentral:rRNA from 1 species
GCUGGCGGCACUAGCGCGGUGGUCCCACCUGACCCCAUGCCGAACUCAGAAGUGAAACGCCGUAGCGCCGAUGGUAGUGUGGGGUCUCCCCAUGCGAGAGUAGGGAACUGCCGGCA